GGGGCUUGCUCCUUGGGAAAGUGGCGCACGGCUGCGUAACGCGUAUGCAACCUACCUUAAUCAGGGGGAUAGCCCGAAGAAAUUCGGAUUAACACCGCAUAAAAACACAGGGUAGCAUUACCUAAUGUUCAAAUAUUUAUAGGAUUAAGAUGGGCAUGCGUGUCAUUAGCUAGUUGGCGGGGUAACGGCCCACCAAGGCGACGAUGACUAGGGGAUCUGAGAGGAUGACCCCCCACACUGGUACUGAGACACGGACCAGACUCCUACGGGAGGCAGCAGUAAGGAAUAUUGGUCAAUGGAGGCAACUCUGAACCAGCCAUGGCCGCGUGCAGGAAGACAGCCCUCUGGGUCGUAAACUGCUUUUAUUCGGGAAUAAACCUCAUUACGUGUAAUGAGCUGAAUGUACCGAAGGAAUAAGGAUCGGCUAACUCCGUGCCAGCAGCCGCGGUAAUACGGAGGAUCCAAGCGUUAUCCGGAUUUAUUGGGUUUAAAGGGUGCGUAGGCGGCCUGUUAAGUCAGGGGUGAAAGACGGUAGCUCAACUAUCGCAGUGCCCUUGAUACUGAUGGGCUUGAAUGAACUAGAGGUAGGCGGAAUGUGACAAGUAGCGGUGAAAUGCAUAGAUAUGUCACAGAACACCGAUUGCGAAGGCAGCUUACUAUGGUUUUAUUGACGCUGAGGCACGAAAGCGUGGGGAUCAAACAGGAUUAGAUACCCUGGUAGUCCACGCCCUAAACGAUGAAUACUCGCUGUUAGCGAUAUACAGUUAGCGGCUAAGCGAAAGCGUUAAGUAUUCCACCUGGGGAGUACGCCCGCAAGGGUGAAACUCAAAGGAAUUGACGGGGGCCCGCACAAGCGGAGGAGCAUGUGGUUUAAUUCGAUGAUACGCGAGGAACCUUACCCGGGCUUGAAAGUUAGUGAAUUAUCCAGAGAUGGAUAAGUGAGCAAUCACACGAAACUAGGUGCUGCAUGGCUGUCGUCAGCUCGUGCCGUGAGGUGUUGGGUUAAGUCCCGCAACGAGCGCAACCCCUAUGUUUAGUUGCCAGCACGUUAAGGUGGGGACUCUAAACAGACUGCCUGUGCAAACAGAGAGGAAGGAGGGGACGACGUCAAGUCAUCAUGGCCCUUACGUCCGGGGCUACACACGUGCUACAAUGGAUGGUACAGAGGGCAGCAAGCUGGCAACAGCAAGCAAAUCUCAAAAAGCCAUUCACAGUUCGGAUAGAGGUCUGCAACUCGACCUCUUGAAGUUGGAUUCGCUAGUAAUCGCGUAUCAGCAAUGACGCGGUGAAUACGUUCCCGGGCCUUGUACACACCGCCCGUCAAGCCAUGGAAGUUGGGGGUACCUAAAGUAUGUAACCGUAAGGAGC
rnacentral:rRNA from 1 species